rnacentral:lncRNA from 1 species
AACUACACGCCAAUACAUUUUUUAAAAGAAGACUUAAAUGUGUUAUUUUUAAUAGCAUGCCCUAGGAAAAAUGCAGAUUUGUGAAACCUUGUUGCCUAAAAGGAAAGAAGAAAAGGAAGCCGGUGUUUCAAAAACUCAGACAUAUUAGAAUAUGGCAUUGAGUAAGCUGUUGUCUUGUUUGGGGGAAGGUGGACCAUCUGAAGAGGGCUUUAGGGACAGUUCUAGUCAUUGACCUUGGGAGAAGCAGGGUAGGAACAGUGCUGCUGCGGAAGCUGAGAGAGCAGUUCUUUGUCCAGUGGAGCACAGUGAACUCCUGGGUGGCACCUGUGUUACAAAACUCCAUUUUAUGGAGUUCCCUGGUGGCACAGCAGGUGAAGAAUUUGACCUUGGUAGUGCUGCAGCUCAGGUCACUGGUGUGGCAUGGGUUCCACCUCUGGCCUGGGAACUUCCGUAUGCCGAGGACACGGCCGAAAAAAAAAAAUCAAAACCUAAAAACCCUCUACUUGAGCUCUUUCAUCUGCAAUACAGUAGUAUCUAUUGCAUAGGAUAUUUGAAGAUAGAAUGGUUUAAUUUAGAAAAUGAAUGGUGACAAUUACUAUGGAAGCACCAGAAAGCCUGCUUGUUCUGGUGGAAUCAUGCAUGUCCUACAUGGUGUCUAGAAUAAAGGAGAUUCUUAAGAUGGAUAUAAAUUGGAUAAAUGAAAUGCCCAGAUAUCAGGGGUAUACAUGAGACAGGAUAGCUGUGAGUUGGAAAUGGUUGAGGCUCAGUAGUAGGUACUUGGAGAUUUGUUAUACUAUUUUCUGUGCUGUUGUGUACCUUUGAAAUUUUCCUUACUAAAAACGCUUUUUUAAAAGAAUGUUGUAGCUCAGCGGGUUAACCCAGCUAGUAUCCAUGAGGAUGCAGGUUCAAUCCCUGGCCUCGUUCAGUGGGGGUUAAGGAUCUGGUGUUGCCUGAGCUGUGGUGUAGGUCACAGAUGUGGCUUGGAUCCUGUAUUGCUGUGGCUGUGGCCUAGGCCAGCAGCCGCAGCUCUGAUUGAGCCCUUAGCUUGGGAACCUCCAUAUGCCUCAGGUGCAGCC